rnacentral:rRNA from 1 species
UACGAAGGGGGCUAGCGUUGCUCGGAAUCACUGGGCGUAAAGGGUGCGCAGGCGGCCAAGUGUGUGAGGCGUGAAAGCCCGGGGCUUAACCCCGGAAUUGCACCUCAAACUACUCGGCUAGAGCAUUGGAGAGGGUAGCAGAAUUCAUGGAUGUAGCGGUGGUAAAUGCGUAGAUAUCAUGAGGAAUACCAGAGGCGAAGGCGGCUACCUGGACAAUUGCUGACGCUCAGGCACGAAGCGUGGGGAG